UACGUAGGGAGCAAGCGUUGUCCGGAUUUAUUGGGCGUAAAGAGCGUGUAGGCGGCCGCACAGGUCCGUUGUGAAAACUGGAGGCUUAACCUUCAGACGUCGAUGGAAACCGUGCGGCUAGAGUCCGGAAGAGGAGAAUGGAAUUCCUGGUGUAGCGGUGAAAUGCGCAGAUAUCAGGAGGAACACCGGUGGCGAAGGCGCACAUCUGGCCCGAUACUGACGCUGAGGAGCGAAAGCGUGGGGAGCGAACAGG
rnacentral:rRNA from 1 species